rnacentral:rRNA from 1 species
CCUACGGGUGGCAGCAGUGAGGAAUAUUGGUCAAUGGGCGCGAGCCUGAACCAGCCAAGUAGCGUGAAGGAUGACUGCCCUACGGGUUGUAAACUUCUUUUAUAAAGGAAUAAAACGAGUCACGUGUGCCUUUUUGCAUGUACUUUAUGAAUAAGGAUCGGCUAACUCCGUGCCAGCAGCCGCGGUAAUACGGAGGAUCCGAGCGUUAUCCGGAUUUAUUGGGUUUAAAGGGAGCGUAGAUGGGUUGUUAAGUCAGUUGUGAAAGUUUGCGGCUCAACCGUAACCUUGCAAUUGAUACUGGCAGUCUUGAGUCCAGUUGAGGUAGGCGGAAUUCGUGGUGUAGCGGUGAAAUGCUUAGAUAUCACGAAGAACCCCGAUUGCGAAGGCAGCUUACUACAGUGUAACUGACACUGAUGCUCGAAAGUGUGGGUAUCGAACAGGAUUAGAUACCCGAGUAGUC